GGGGCGGGCGGCGCCAUGGAGGAGCGGGACGGCGGCUUCAGGAAGGUGCGGGGGAGCGGAGCGGAGCGGGCGGCUCCGGCCCGGCUCGGCCUCGCCCCGCUCACCGCCGCUCUCUCCGCGCAGGAGACGGUGGAGCGGCUGCUGCGGCUGCACUUCCGCGACGGGAAGACGCGAGUUAACGGCGACGCGCUGCUGCUGAUGGCGGAGAUGCUGAAGGUCUUCGUGCGAGCGCUGCCGCCGGGGCUGUACCGCAGAAGCGGCGGCGCGAGCAGCGCGGCAGGCACAGGCGGAGGACCUGGAGAAGGUGGACAUAGAGCACGUGGAGAAGGUGCUGCCUCAGCUGCUUCUAGAUUUCUAGUGACAUCAUGAAGCAGAAGUGACAUGUCAGCCGCCGGCAGAAGAUCCUGACCCAACGGCUCAGUCCGGCUCUAGGAAGAACAGCAUCACCUCCUUCUUCCUCUGCCACAGCGCUUCUGUUUCCCGUCUCCUUCACUGCAUUUCUGAUGUCAGAUGCUGUUUUUGAAAAGAGGCCGCCGCUCGCUUGGUUGGGUGGGCCGUCACUGGUUUCCCUCUCGCUGCCUUCCUUCUCUAACAGUGUGCCUAACAGCGUGGCAAAGCUGCUGUUGCCUUCUCAGCUAAUGUGAGAAACAGGUGCUGCUUCACAAGACGAGAGGCAUGGAAAGACUUAAUGGCUGGAAAUGUCAUCCAAACAUCGGGCUCUCCUCAUCUCAGCGGGCGGCAGUGGCAGGAACUUCAGGUCCGGCUCCAAGCCUGGCUAAUGAAUAGGUUGUUAACAGCAGCUCCGUUACAGGCUCUUGCCAAAAACAGGGGAGUAAGACCUGAUCUAGUUCUUGAAGAUACCCAUUUUUCAUUCUGCUGAAACAGCAGUAGAUUAAACUGAGGCAUCACUGUGUUACACAAGGGGCAUGCAAAGCAGAACUGACCGAAGCAGUGCACACAGCUGCAUGGACUCAGCUGCAGGAGUCAAAUCCUCUCCAGAAACCUCUUCUGACGGGCACAGCCGGUAUUAGAGUAUGCUUGGAUAAACCAGCUGUAUCUUGAUUUUAAAACGAUUAGAAAGUUAACUCUGGGGAUCUGGUUAAACCCAGUACCCAUUCUGCAGCUGUUGCUCAUCCCAGCUACAGAGAAGAAGAAACUGGGCCAAGAUCUAUCAGUGGCUCUGUCAGAUUAAGUCAUUCCUAAUUUUUUGUGAGCAGCAGUUGGGUCAAGAUAGAGCAGACACUGACCUCCUAAUCCUCAGCCCUGUACUUAACCCGAGAAAGUGCCCCAAUAACACUGAUAUUGCUGUUCAUGUCC